rnacentral:lncRNA from 1 species
AAACAUCCAAAAAGUUACAAUCCAGAUCGACUGCCAGCUUAAGAAAACAUCCGGAAAUCUGGCAAUACAAUAUAUAUUACUUUCUUUAGAUUAGCUCUAGUUAUGAACUUUUCAUUUUCAAAGAAUUUCAUAAUUUCCUGAAGCAUUUUCUUAUUUAUCUUUAAUGAUUUGGCCAAAUCAUCUAUGGUUGUCCAUUGUCGUCUGAAAUAUGAAAAUAACGAGUAAUAUGCAAAUAACGGACCCAAAUGUCCAGGUUAGAAAAAAAGAAUUUCAAUUUGCAUGCAAAUAACGCACCCAGAUGUCCAGGUUAGAAAAUAAGAAUUUCAAUUUGCAUAUCACUUGUUAUUUUCAUAUUUCAGACGACAAUGGACAACCACAGAUGAUUUGGCCAAAUCAUUAAAGAUGAAUAAGAAAAUGCUUCAGGAAAUUAUGAAAUUCUUUGAAAAAGAAAUGUUCAUAUCUAAAGCUAUUAUGUAUUGUAUAUUGUAUUACCGGAUGUUUUCUUUAGCUGGUACGUAGUCGAUCUGGAUUGUAAUCAGUAAUUCUUUUCCAUUAGAUUUAUGAUGUUGUGAGGUACUGGAUAUUUAAGAUGAUAAAAAAAAUAGAUGAGUUGGCUACCAAGAUUACCAUCCAGGAUCUGAAAUACAUAUGCCCUAAUUGUUAGAACGACGACUCGCUCUUGGAGGGGAAUUGGCCGGAGUUGGGCCAGCAGUAGCUGCGGCAAUCGCCGGCAGCACCAUUGCGCAGGGGAGGAAACUCAAGUAGCCGUUGGAGAGGAAAACAGAAUUAAACCAGCUAGACCGGUUGCUGUUAACCGGGUUUAAUUCAGAUGUAUUUGUAUUUUAAUUAAAUCUUAAUGUUUACAAGAGUGAUAUAUUUAUACUUAAUUACAUUGACUCAUUAACUAAAAUUAACUAAUCAAUCUAAUUAAUUUGUUAUAAUCUUUACUUGAAACAUUUGCAGCAACAACC